UACGUAGGGUGCGAGCGUUAAUCGGAAUUACUGGGCGUAAAGCGUGCGUAGGCGGUUUUUCAAGCUUGAUGUGAAAGCCCCGGGCUUAACCUGGGAAUGGCAUUGAGGACUGAGAGGCUAGAGUGCGGCAGAGGGAGGUGGAAUUCCACGUGUAGCAGUGAAAUGCGUAGAGAUGUGGAGGAACACCGAUGGGGAAAGCAGCCUCCUGGGCCGACACUGAAUCUGAGGGCACGAAAGCGUGGGGAGCAAACAGG
rnacentral:rRNA from 1 species